CCAGAGAUGGCGCUGAGUGUACAGGGAACCUGGGGCUAACCUGAAUCAGAAAUUGGAAAGAAACAAGACUCAAGUCUGUGAGCACCGAAUCCUCGAUUAACCCCAGGAGCAUCCCAUUCAGGAUAGGAAGGAAAGAGAAGCAGAAGAACAAAUCAAAGAGACCUGCAUUAGGGAAAGGUGAAUCUGAGGCACAGUGCACACCAUUUCCCAGAAAUUUCCAGUGGGGAAACUGGAAAUGAUUUAAAAACAAAUCUACUAUGACAGAAUCUGACCAACCGGUUGAUUAUUGCAGCACAAUUGAGGACCAGGCAGUGUUCUUCAACCUCAGAACUUCGGACUUUGGACCAGACAGCUUUGUGUUGUGGGAGCCUAGUCUGUGCACAGGUGGAUGCAGAGCUUCACUCACUAGGUGUGGUGACAACCCUACACACCUCCACAUAUUGCCAGGUAAACUGGUGGACAAGCAGCACACAAGGGAAAGCACUGAAUGGAGGUAAUAUUUACAAGUAGUUGACUCUCCUGUUUUUUGUACACUCAGUAUCAUCAAAGCAGUGUCAUG